UCGGAGCGCUGCUCCGCGCCUCUGUGGUCCUGGUCGCGCGCGCUGGGCGAGGGGCUGCUCUGCCUUAGAGGGCCCAGGGGUGGGUGGGCUUUGGGACAGAAACUUUCCCUGGACCCAUCGGAAGGCCCUGGACUUGAGAAUCCGAGGACCUAGCUGGGGCGGGCAGGAAAUUGGUGUCUGAAAGCUGCUGCUUCCGCGUGACCUUGGGGGCGAGGCACCUUGGUCCGGGGUUCGGUGGAUGUGAUUUUAUGACAUUUCUCAGUGCGGGCUCCACGUCCACACCCUGCCCACCUCGGGGUCGGAGGCAUUACUAUUCCGGGUUCAGAAGCCGAGGCCUGAAAAGGAAAGAGCUCUACUGCCAAGGCUGAAUUUCAAGGCCAGAGGCUGCCAGAAGGAGAAAGAAUCCGGUUCAACGGGAUUCCGGUCACCCUCCGGCCCCCUGCGUGCUGUCAGAACCCUGAAAGACUUUCACAUUUGGGUUUCAAUGAUGAGUAAUGUUGCUGUGAACUCAGUGGGAGCCUUGUUCCCAGCCCCAGCACCGUCUGCCCCGUUCUGAGAGGCCCAGUGAGACUUGGAACUGGCCAGCCGACUGGAUCCCUCCAGGGCUGCUGUAUCAACCUGGGCAAGAUGCCUCCUGUGGCUGCGAGGCCCUGGGAACCUAACGAUGUCUUCCAGGAAGAAGGCUGGGCCUGGUCCAGAAUUACAGUCUCCCCCAGCUGCUUCUCCUCCUCUUCUCCUUUCUCCAACUGCAGCACAGUGCUCCCCCACCUCCUUCUCGGAAGGGGAGGCAGCUUCCCCUCCGCUUCUCCACUCUCAUCUCUUUCCUCACCACUGCAUCUCUUCCCCCAAGGAAAUUCCACAUGUGCGAGUACUGAAGUGUCACACCAAGCCACAUAAAUAAGCACCAGUGUCACAUGUUAAUAAAAACUACAGCAGCUGAG